UUUUAAGUUAAUAAAAACAAUUUUGCAAAUUGUUUUUUCUUAAAGU
rnacentral:tRNA from 1 species